rnacentral:lncRNA from 1 species
CCCGCUGCUUACAAAGGCCCACUAAUCAUUGAAGAUUAUGUUCACGCUCUGAAGCACUGCUGGCGAGAGGACCGAUUGGUAGAGUCGUUCUGGAAGGAAAGAACUAGCUUGUGAGAACUAGUAAUAUUAUCGUUGAAGAAUGCAUUAUCAAGCAAAAUAGAGAAGAAAGCUGCAAAAUAGAUGGGAGACACAAGUGGAUCCUGCCUUGCGGGGAGGAUAGAAGAAAGGACCCUGUAGUGACACUGAAUUAAUAAGCUAGCCAAAGAUGUGGGUAUUCAGACACACAACAGAUGGGCAUAG